GCGCGAUUAGCUCAGCGGGAGAGCGCUUCCCUGACACGGAAGAGGUCACUGGUUCAAUCCCAGUAUCGCGCAC
rnacentral:tRNA from 227 species